rnacentral:rRNA from 1 species
GACGAACGCUGGCGGCGUGCUUACCACAUGCAAGUCGUACGGUAAGGCCCUUUCGGGGGUACACGAGUGGCGAACGGGUGAGUAACACGUGAGUAACCUGCCCACAACUUUGGGAUAACGCUAGGAAACUGGUGCUAAUACUGGAUAUGUGCUCCUGCUGCAUGGUGGGGGUUGGAAAGCUCCGGCGGUUGUGGAUGGACUCGCGGCCUAUCAGCUUGUUGGUGGGGUAGUGGCCUACCAAGGCGGCGACGGGUAGCCGGCCUGAGAGGGUGACCGGCCACAUUGGGACUGAGAUACGGCCCAGACUCCUACGGGAGGCAGCAGUGGGGAAGAUUGCACAAUGGGCGCAAGCCUGAUGCAGCAACGCCGCGGGCGGGAUGACGGCCUUCGGGUUGUAAACCGCUUUCAGCAGGGACGAAGCUUUUUGUGACGGUACCUGCAGAAGAAGCACCGGCUAACUACGUG